GAUGAACGCUGGCGGCGUGCUUAACACAUGCAAGUCGAACGGAAAGGCCCAAGCUUGCUUGGGUGCUCGAGUGGCGAACGGGUGAGUAACACGUGGGUGAUCUGCCCUGCACUUCGGGAUAAGCCUGGGAAACUGGGUCUAAUACCGGAUAGGACCACAGUUUGGAUGGUGUGGUGGAAAGUUUUUCGGUGUGGGAUGAGCUCGCGGCCUAUCAGCUUGUUGGUGGGGUAAUGGCCUACCAAGGCGUCGACGGGUAGCCGGCCUGAGAGGGUGUACGGCCACAUUGGGACUGAGAUACGGCCCAGACUCCUACGGGGGGCAGCAGUGGGGAAUAUUGCACAAUGGGCGCAAGCCUGAUGCAGCGACGCCGCGUGGGGGAUGACGGCCUUCGGGUUGUAAACUCCUUUCGCUAGGGACGAAGCGCAAGUGACGGUACCUGGAGAAGAAGCACCGGCUAACUACGUG
rnacentral:rRNA from 1 species